rnacentral:rRNA from 1 species
GUACUCCCCAGGCGGAGUGCUUAAUGCGUUUGCUGCAGCACUAAAGGGCGGAAACCCCUCUAACACUUAGCACUCAUCGUUUACGGCGUGGACUACCAGGGUAUCUAAUCCUGUUCGCUCCCCACGCUUUCGCGCCUCAGCGUCAGUUACAGACCAAAGAGCCGCCUUCGCCACUGGUGUUCCUCCACAUCUCUACGCAUUUCACCGCUACACGUGGAAUUCCGCUCUUCUCUUCUGCACUCAAGUCUCCCAGUUUCCAAUGACCCUCCCCGGUUGAGCCGGGGGCUUUCACAUCAGACUUAAGAGACCGCCUGCGCGCGCUUUACGCCCAAUAAUUCCGGACAACGCUUGCCACCUACGUAUUACCGCGGCUGCUGGCACGUAGUUAGCCGUGGCUUUCUGGUUAGGUACCGUCAAGGUACCGGCAGUUACUCCGGUACUUGUUCUUCCCUAACAACAGAGCUUUACGACCCGAAGGCCUUCUUCGCUCACGCGGCGUUGCUCCGUCAGACUUUCGUC